UACGUAGGGUCCGAGCGUUGUCCGGAAUUACUGGGCGUAAAGAGCUCGUAGGUGGUUUGUCGCGUUGUCCGUGAAAACUCACAGCUCAACUGUGGGCGUGCGGGCGAUACGGGCAGACUGGAGUACUGCAGGGGAGACUGGAAUUCCUGGUGUAGCGGUGGAACGCGCAGAUAUCAGGAGGAACACCGAUGGCGAAGGCAGGUCUCUGGGCAUUAACUGACGCUGAGGAGCGAAAGCAUGGGGAGCGAACAGG
rnacentral:rRNA from 1 species